UAACUGCUGUUUGAACGCUGUACUGUAGAAGGCACAGACUGAGAUGCUGGAUCAACUGCGCAUGCCUGUCUUUGUGACCGGCUGCUAUCGAUCCUUCCGAGCCCGUGUGCCACGCUGGAAAGCUGCAUCUAAGAGUUAAGAUUUACUGGCUUAAAAGCGUGUGUGUCGUGGGAUUGCGCGGUGGCUCAGUAAGUAAGUGCUUGCCUUGCACACACAAAGACCUAACUGUUCAAUGUGCAGCUCCUAUGUUUAAAAAUCUAGUUGAGCAUUGUGGCACACACUUAUAAUCUCAGCUCUAAAGAAGCAAAGACCGUGGCUCCCUGGGGCUCACUGGUAGCCAGCAGCCAAACUGGUGAGUUGCAGGUAAAAGUGAGAGUUUUUUUUUUUUUUCUCACAAAACAUGAUGGAUUAUGAGGAACUACAGUUGAGAUUGUCCUCUGGUCUCCACAGACACAUAUGUACUCAUACCUAUACAUAGUCAUGCACCUGCAAACACACACACACACACACACACACACACACACACACACACACACACACUCACACACACACACUCACACACACACUCACAUACACUCACAUAUACACUCACAUACACACACACUAACAUAUACACACACUCACACACACUCACAUACACACACUCACAUACACACACACACUCACACAUACUCACACACACUCACACACACACACUCACAUACACACACUCACACACACACACUCACACACACACUCACAUACACACACUCACAUACACACACACACCAACAUACACACACACUCACACACACUCACAUACACACACACACACACACUCACAUACACACACUCACGUGCAUGCACACAGGUCAUUGUGAGAAUUCAAUGUGAACAUCUUUGAAAUGCAGUUUCAAAUCUCCCACACGCUGACAAGAGCCACGUGAACCAUUGUGCAGCACUGCACCCAUUUGACAGAUGAGAGCAUGGAUACCUAACCGGAGCCUGGCAGGUCUUGGACAGCAGAGGCCACCCUGCAUCUGACACCAUCUCUUGUAAUCCAUGACUUCUCUUCCUGCCUCCAUGAAUCUCCAGAUAACAGAUUCCUGCCCUCCUAAAAGAUGGGUAUGUUUACACACUUCUAUUGAAAGUUGAUGCUCACAUAGAAUCAUAGUCAGGCAUUGUAGUGGGCCCAGAAAGGCAGGCAAGGCACAUGCAGGUUUCUCUAGGUUGGUAGCCAUGACGCUUGGGCUUUUCCGGUGUCCUUGACUAGAUCAUUUCCCUCACACCCCAAAAUAAUUUGAGCAGAUGUUUCAUCUCUAUGCAACUAGUCUUAGUGCUACCAUCACCAGCUUUCUUCUGUGGUUUCUCUUGGUCUUUCCUUCUUAACUCUACAAGACCACACCACAUAUUCCUUUCUCCUCACCAGGACAUGGCAGAGUGUCUGUAGUGUUUGGAGGAUUAUGAAAUACAAGGCUUCACAGAAACCCAAGGCCCACAGAUCCUCCAAGCUGUAGCUGAUUGCGCUGGUGCUUUCGUCCAUUUCCGUCCUUUUAUCCUCAUUCACUGAGAGGGAACUGCGGGGGUGGAGGGUGGGGGGAGUGGGGAGGGGGUGUAAGGCUUUGCCUUAGCAGCGUUUGACCACGUGACUUGCUUAGGCCAAUGGACAGAGAGUGGAUCUGGCAGACGCCAUGUCUGGGCACUUCUCGGCGUAGUUACAUGGGUGUUUUCUACUUGACAAGACAAACACCAAAGGGCAGUGUUGGACUGCAGGGGGGACCAGGAGACCUUACUGACUCGUCGGCAAUAAAGUUUGUGUGGUAGGCUUUGAUGACUACUAUGGGCAUCCUCUGUAUGUGUGUGUGGGGGGCGGGGGGAUGUUACUCUGCUUUCAGGGGAGUCUCUGACUUCUUUUUUAUAACUUGUGGUGAAUGGAGCCAGGUCUUCUUGACCCGAUACUGAGGGAUAAAGAGGGACAAAGGAGCUCCAGGAGAUGGCAGAGCGAAGCCAGGGUUCUUGGGAGUCAAGAGAGAUCUUGGGGUAUUGUUCUGGUUGUGGGGAGGAGAGGAUGGUCACUUCUAUCCCAAUGCUUUGCCCCACUGCUGUUGGUGUCCAUGUGGACCCCAGCCAUGCCCAGAAGGAUCCCAAGAAUGAUGACGAUCCAGAGACAGGGGACAAAAGGGAAUUAGGAACGCAGGCCAGGGACAGUUACUAGCAUUGCCUGCAGAGCCUAGGAGUCUACUCAGAGA
rnacentral:lncRNA from 1 species